CUUCCCGCCGGCAGCACCAAACUCUUUGAAUUUUACAGCGGAUUACAGUUUUGAUUUGAAAACAAAAAACAAGUUAAAACUUUCAACAACGGAUCUCUUGGUUCUGGCAUCGAUGAAGAACGCAGCGAAAUGCGAUAAGUAAUGUGAAUUGCAGAAUUCAGUGAAUCAUCGAAUCUUUGAACGCACAUUGCGCCCGGCAGUAAUCUGCCGGGCAUGCCUGUCCGAGCGUCAUUUCAACCCUCGAACCUCCGUUUCCUCAGGGAAGCUCAGGGUCGGUGUUGGGGCGCUACGGCGAGUCUUCGCGACCCUCCGUAGGCCCUGAAAUACAGUGGCGGUCCCGCCGCGGUUGCCUUCUGCGUAGUAAGUCUCUUUUGCAAGCUCGCAUUGGGUCCCGGCGGAGGCCUGCCGU
rnacentral:rRNA from 1 species